CACGUAGGGGCGAGCGUUGUCCGGAUUUAUUGGGCGUAAAGAGCUCGUAGGCGGCUCGGUAAGUCGGGUGUGAAAUUUCGAGGCUCAACCUCGAAACGCCACCCGAUACUGCUGUGGCUAGAGUCCGGUAGGGGAGCGUGGAAUUCCUGGUGUAGCGGUGAAAUGCGCAGAGUAUCAGGAAGAACACCCGUGGCGAAGGCGGCUCUCUGGGACGGUACUGACGGCUGAGACGCGAAAGCGUGGGGAGCGAACAGG
rnacentral:rRNA from 1 species